rnacentral:rRNA from 1 species
CCCUUAGAUGUUCUGGGCCGCACGCGCGCUACACUGAUGCAUUCAACGAGUCUAAAACCUGCUCUGAUAGGGGUGGGUAAUCUUUUGAAUGUGCAUCGUGAUUGGGAUAGAUGAUUGCAAUUUUUCAUCUUCAACGAGGAAUGCCUAGUAAACGCAAGUCAUCAGCUUGCAUUGAUUACGUCCCUGCCCUUUGUACACACCGCCCGUCGCUCCUACCGAUUGAAUGAUCCGAUGAAUACCAUGGAUUGAGAGUACGAAUAGGUUCGCUUAUUUCUGCUGCUCGAGAAGUGGAGUAAAUCUUAUCAUUUAGAGGAAGGAGAAGUCGUAACA